CUACGGGGCGCUGCAGUGGGGAAUAUUGCACAAUGGGCGAAAGCCUGAUGCAGCAACGCCGCGUGGAGGAUGACACAUUUCGGUGCGUAAACUCCUUUUAUAUAAGAAGAUAAUGACGGUAUUAUAUGAAUAAGCACCGGCUAACUCCGUGCCAGCAGCCGCGGUAAUACGGGGGGUGCAAGCGUUACUCGGAAUCACUGGGCGUAAAGAGCAUGUAGGCUGGAUGACAAGUUGGAAGUGAAAUCCUAUGGCUUAACCAUAGAACUGCUUCCAAAACUGUCUUCCUAGAGUAUGGGAGAGGUAGAUGGAAUUUCUGGCGUAGGGGUAAAAUCCGUAGAGAUCAGAAGGAAUACCGAUUGCGAAGGCGAUCUACUGGAACAUUACUGACGCUCAGAUGCGAAAGCGUGGGGAGCAAACAGGAUUAGAUACCCGGGUAGUC
rnacentral:rRNA from 1 species